rnacentral:rRNA from 1 species
AGUGAACGCUGGCGGUAGGCCUAACACAUGCAAGUCGAACGGAAGCACAGUAAGAUCUUGCUCUUACGGGUGGCGAGUGGCGGACGGGUGAGGAAUACAUCGGAAUCUACUUUUUCGUGGGGGAUAACGUAGGGAAACUUACGCUAAUACCGCAUACGACCUACGGGUGAAAGCAGGGGAUCUUCGGACCUUUCGCGAUUGAAUGAGCCGAUUUCGGAUUAGCUAGUUGGUGGGGUAAAGGCCCACCAAGGCGACGAUCCGUAGCUGGUCUGAGAGGAUGAUCAGCCACACUGGAACUGAGACACGGUCCAGACUCCUACGGGAGGCAGCAGUGGGGAAUAUUGGACAAUGGGCGCAAGCCUGAUCCAGCCAUACCGCGUGGGUGAAGAAGGCCUUCGGGUUGUAAAGCCCUUUUGUUGGGAAAGAAAAGCAGCAGGUUAAUACCCCGCUGUUCUGACGGUACCCAAAGAAUAAGCACCGGCUAACUUCGUG